AUUUAUAUAGUAUAAAAAUUAUCAUUGAUUUCCAAUCAAAAGAUCUAGUUUCUAGUAUAAAUA
rnacentral:tRNA from 1 species